AAGCAUUAAAGUAAGAUGUUGUGCCAGAAAGCAGUAUCUUAGUAGCUUAAUAUGGGUUUUACAUUUACCGCAAGCUGGCUAGAGAGAAAUUCUUGAAAGAAAAUGUUAAAA
rnacentral:ncRNA from 1 species